GAUGAACGCUAGCGGCAGGCCUAAUACAUGCAAGUCGAACGGGAUCCAGAUCAAAGCUUGCUUUGGUCUGGUGAGAGUGGCGCACGGGUGCGUAACGCGUGAGCAACCUACCCUUGUCAGGGGGAUAGCCCGGCGAAAGUCGGAUUAAUACCGCAUGACAUCAUUGAGAGGCAUCUUUCGAUGAUCAAAGAUUUAUCGGACAAGGAUGGGCUCGCGUGACAUUAGCUAGUUGGUAAGGUAACGGCUUACCAAGGCUGCGAUGUCUAGGGGCUCUGAGAGGAGAAUCCCCCACACUGGUACUGAGACACGGACCAGACUCCUACGGGAGGCAGCAGUAAGGAAGAUUGGUCAAUGGACGGAAGUCUGAACCAGCCAUGCCGCGUGCAGGAAGACGGCCCUAUGGGUUGUAAACUGCUUUUAUACGGGAACAAACGUCGGUACGUGUACCGGUCUGAGUGUACCGUAAGAAUAAGGAUCGGCUAACUCCGUG
rnacentral:rRNA from 1 species